AUGAACGCUGGCGGCGUGCCUAAUACAUGCAAGUCGAGCGAACGGACGAGAAGCUUGCUUUUCUGAUGUUAGCGGCGGACGGGUGAGUAACACGUGGAUAACCUACCUAUAAGACUGGGAUAACUUCGGGAAACCGGAGCUAAUACCGGAUAAUAUUUUGAACCGCAUGGUUCAAAAGUGAAAGACGGUCUUGCUGUCACUUAUAGAUGGAUCCGUGCUGCAUUAGCUAGUUGGUAAGGUAACGGCUUACCAAGGCAACGAUGCAUAGCCGACCUGAGAGGGUGAUCGGCCACACUGGAACUGAGACACGGUCCAGACUCCUACGGGAGGCAGCAGUAGGGAAUCUUCCGCAAUGGGCGAAAGCCUGACGGAGCAACGCCGCGUGAGUGAUGAAGGUCUUCGGAUCGUAAAACUCUGUUAUUAGGGAAGAACAUAUGUGUAAGUAACUGUGCACAUCUUGACGGUACCUAAUCAGAAAGCCACGGCUAACUACGUG
rnacentral:rRNA from 1 species